rnacentral:rRNA from 1 species
UUGAUGCCUGUACCCGAAACCGACACAGGUAGGUAGGUAGAGUAUACCAAGGGGCGCGAGAUAACUCUCUCUAAGGAACUCGGCAAAAUUACCUCGUAACUUCGGAAGAAGAGGUACCCUUGCAAAAGGGUUGCAAUAAAUAGGCCCUGGCGACUGUUUACCAAAAACACAGGUCUCCGCUAAUUCGUAAGAUUAAGUAUGGGGGCUGACGCCUGCCCAGUGCCGGAAGGUUAAGGAAGUUGGUUAGUCUUUGACGAAGCUGGCGACCGAAGCCCCGGUGAACGGCGGCCGUAACGAUAACGGUCCUAAGGUAGCGAAAUUCCUUGUCGGGUAAGUUCCGACCCGCACGAAAGGCGUAACGAUCAGGGUGCUGUCUCGGAGAGAGGCUCGGCGAAAUAGACAUGUCUGUGAAGAUGCGGACUACCUGCACCUGGACAGAAAGACCCUAUGAAGCUUUACUGUAUCUUGGAAUUGGGUUUGGGCUUUGCUUGCGCAGGAUAGGUGGGAGGCUUUGAAGAUGUUCUUGCGGGAACAUUGGAGCCAAUGGUGAGAUACCACUCUAGUAAGGCUAAAGUUCUAACUUCGAACCGUUAUCCGGUCGAGGAACAGUUUCAGGUGGGCAGUUUGACUGGGGCGGUCGCCUCCUAAAAGGUAACGGAGGCGUGCAAAGGUUCCCUCAGGCUGGUCGUACAUCAGUCGUAGAGUGUAAAGGCAUAAGGGAGCUUGACUGCGAGACCUACAAGUCGAGCAGAGACGAAAGUCGGCCUUAGUGAUCCGACGGUUCCGAGUGGAAGGGCCGUCGCUCAACGGAUAAAAGUUACUCUAAGGAUAACAGGCUGAUCACCCCCAAGAGUUCACAUCGACGGGGAGGUUUGGCACCUCGAUGUCGGCUCAUCGCAUCCUGGGGCGGUAGUACGUCCCAAGGGUUGGGCUGUUCGCCCAUGAAAGCGGUACGCGAGCUGGGUUCAGAACGCCGUGAGACAGUUCGGCCCAUAUCCGGUGCAGGCGUUAGGGUAUUGAGAGGAGUUCCCCUUAGUACGAGAGGACCGGGGGAAAUACACCGCUGGUGUACCAGUUAUCGUGCCAACGGUAAACGCUGGGUAGCCAAGUGUAGAGUGGAUAACUGCUGAAAGCAUCUAAGUAGGAAGCCCACCUCAAGAUGAGUACUCUCACCGCUAUAAGCGGGUAAGAUCACGGCAAGAACAGCCGUUAUAUAGGCACCAAGUAUAAGUACAGCAAUGUAUUCAGCUGAGGUGUACUAACAGAUCGGGGGC